GGAAAACUUACCAGGUCCAGACAUAAUGAGGAUUGACAGAUUGAGAGCUCUUUCUUGAUUUUAUGGGUGGUGGUGCAUGGCCGUUCUUAGUUGGUGGAGUGAUUUGUCUGGUUAAUUCCGUUAACGAACGAGACCCCUGCCUGCUAAAUAGCCCAGUGAGUGAAUCUUCACUGACUGCUGGCUUCUUAGAGGGACGUGCAUUCUAUCAGAUGCAGGAAGAUAGGGGCAAUAA
rnacentral:rRNA from 1 species